rnacentral:rRNA from 1 species
AUUGCCUCAGUAACGGCGAGUGAAGCGGCAAUAGCUCAAAUUUGAAAUCUGGCCCUUUCGGGGUCCGAGUUGUAAUUUGUAGAGAGUGUUUCGGGUGAGACCACGGUCUAAGUCCGUUGGAACACGGUGUCAUAGAGGGUGAGAAUCCCGUCUGUGACCGUGGAUCGAGCCCAUGUGAAGCCUCUUCGACGAGUCGAGUUGUUUGGGAAUGCAGCUCAAAAUGGGUGGUAAAUUUCAUCUAAAGCUAAAUACUGGCUGGAGACCGAUAGCGCACAAGUAGAGUGAUCGAAAGAUGAAAAGCACUUUGGAAAGAGAGUGAAACAGUACGUGAAAUUGUUGAAAGGGAAGCGCUUGCAACCAGACCUGCCCGUAGGCGAUCAGCCGCUGUUCUCAGUGGUGCACUCGCUCUGCGAUCAGGCCAGCAUCGGUUUCGGCGGUCGGAUAAAGGCCUUGGGAAUGUAGCUCCUUUUCGGGGGAGUCUUAUAGCCCUUGGUGCAAUGCGGCCAGCCGGGACCGAGGACCGCGCUUCGGCUAGGAUGCUGGCGUAAUGGUUGUAAGCGACCCGUCUUGAAACACGGACCAAGGAGUCUAACAUCUAUGCGAGUGUUUGGGUGUCAAACCCAUGCGCGGAAUGAAAGUGAACGGAGGUGAGAACCCUUAAGGGCGCAUCAUCGACCGAUCCAGAUGUCUUCGGAUGGAUUUGAGUAUGAGCAUAGCUGUUGGGACCCGAAAGAUGGUGAACUAUGCCUGAAUAGGGUGAAGCCAGAGGAAACUCUGGUGGAGGCUCGCAGCGGUUCUGACGUGCAAAUCGAUCGUCAAAUUUGGGUAUAGGGGCGAAAGACUAAUCGAACCAUCUAGUAGCUGGUUCCUGCCG